rnacentral:misc_RNA from 1 species
AAGUCGUAACAAGGUUUCCGUAGGUGAACCUGCGGAAGGAUCAUUAAUGUUGUUUAUUCUUCUAUGUUGUUUGAAUGUCUGAUGUUGUGGGGAUAUUUUUAUCCCCGCGCUAGUCAACGUGAUCUUUAUUCUAGUCUGACUUUUAUGUAAAUAAUAAAAGACAACUUUUAGCAACGGAUCUCUUGGCUCUC